rnacentral:lncRNA from 1 species
AUAUUGAGAUUGAUUGUCACUUUACAAGAUAAAAUUAAAAUGUGACAACAUUAAAUGACCUGUUGUUUUUCUUCUUGCAUGCAAUUAACAAUUUUUUUCACUAAAUCUCAUACUAACAUGAGCUUCAACAUCUUACAUGAUAAAUUCUCAAUGUUUCUCCCAACAACAUUGAGUUUGAGGGAGGUAUUGAAUUUCUUAUCUCCCCAAGGUUUUCUCCUUUGUAACAAGCAACUAUGCACACAAGGUCUGGGUAAUCAACACCCCUUUCCUCUGUAUCCCUAUCCUUCUCUUCUCCUAGUGGUACAUUGAUUCUAACAAUCACAAGGACCAAACCAUUCAAUUCUCUCCUGCAUGGCCACAAUAAUCCCAUUUAGAGACAUUAAUUUUGCAGCCUAGGGAACAUUCAAACCACCAAUAUGGUUUCAAACCCAAAUUCUUUCUAGCUACCCAUCUUAAGAUAAAUCAGCACCCUGUAAUUGGCCAAUGGAACAGAGUGUGUAUGGAUCGUGUAUGAAGAAAUGGGUAUUCAUCAUGAUGGCUUGGAGGAGGUGACUAGCAGGCAAUCCUAGGCAGAGCCGAGCAAGGUGUUUAGAGAAACAUAGAUACCACUAUUUUGCAAGGAGAAAUACAGACAAGAACACAGGGCAUAACCAGUUUAAUUCUAUAAUAACCAGAAGAAUGAACAGAUAUGAAACGAAAUAUUUCAAAAACAGGAGAAAAAAAUUCUGAAAAUGGUAGUGAAUCAGCUCAUACUAAGAU